CAACACCAUGGAAACUAGUCCAUGAGGUCACGAAACGGAGGCAGCGAGAGAGAGAAACCCCUGCAAAUCUGGGCUUUUUUUUCUAUGAAGCCGGAGAGUUUUCCAGCGUCCUGACAGUGCUUACGGACCAACAGGACUCAUCAUGUUUGUGUGUGUGUGUGAGUGUGUGUGUGCUGUUUCGGGCAGACGCCUCAGAUCAGCAGGCUGGCCUUACUGCAUGUGUGACAGGAGAGCCGUCCUGAUCAAAACACACCCCUGGCACCUGACCCCCCUCACCCGGAGCCCCCCUCAGCCCAGCCUGCCCUGGUCUUAAUGAUACGUGGCCUCCUCAUGCCCCGCGGCCAGAGACCCCGGAUCACCCCCACCAUACACACACACACAUACACAAAACAAACACACAUAAGAAGAUUGCCGGGACUUGUGUCCCUGCAGCUGGAUUUGGCUUACAGAAUGGAGAAAAGUUUGGAUGAUAAGAUGGCAAGACAGCAGACUGUUGGACAGGUGCACAGGUAUGACAGAGUGAGACGUCUCGUGACGCGCACGUGGCCGCUGUUUGUAAACACACUUGUGCACAAAAUAAAAAUCAUUACAACUUUUUCAGGAACAAUUAACACGACAAACAACGUUGUGUCUUUAUGUGAAAACAGGCAUUAAACAGUGACUUACACCAUCCACAAAGGUCUAC
ensembl:lncRNA